CCUACGGGAGGCAGCAGUGAGGAAUAUUGGUCAAUGGCCGGAAGGCUGAACCAGCCAAGCCGCGUGAAGGACGAAGGUGCCAAGCAUUGUAAACUUCUUUUGUCAAGGAACAAAAUCAGGCUCGAGAGCCUGACCGAGGGUACUUGAAGAAAAAGCAUCGGCUAACUCCGUGCCAGCAGCCGCGGUAAUACGGAGGAUGCGAGCGUUAUCCGGAUUUAUUGGGUUUAAAGGGUGCGUAGGCGGGCUGUUAAGUCAGCGGUAAAAGCCCGGGGCUCAACCCCGGCGAGUCGUUGAAACUGGUGGUCUUGAGAUGUCGAGAGGUAGGAGGAAGGGGCAGUGUAGAGGUGAAAUGAUGAGA
rnacentral:rRNA from 1 species